rnacentral:rRNA from 1 species
UACGAACUGUGCAAACGUUAUUCGGAAUCACUGGGCUUAAAGGGUGCGUAGGCGGCUUGUUAAGUAGGGUGUGAAAUCCCCCGGCUCAACCGGGGAAUUGCGCCCUAAACUGGCGAGCUGGAGUGAGAUAGGGGUGUGUGGAACUUCCGGUGGAGCGGUGAAAUGUGUUGAUAUCGGAAGGAACGCCAGUGGCGAAAGCGACACACUGGGUCUCAACUGACGCUGAGGCACGAAAGCCAGGGGAGCAAACGGG